AUAUCGAGCAAUGUUCAGCUAAAAUGUAAAAAAAAAGGAUCACAGGUUCACAGGACUAUUACAGAACAGCAGCAAUCACAAAAAUGCAAGAAAUGUGAUAACACUUGGCUAGUUGACAUAAAUACACGGCUAACUUUGCAGCUCGAUUCCCCCGCUUGUGAUUACACAAGGCAUGUCUGGGAAACGC
rnacentral:lncRNA from 1 species